AUUGAACGCUGGCGGCAUGCCUUACACAUGCAAGUCGAACGGUAACAGGUCUUCGGAUGCUGACGAGUGGCGAACGGGUGAGUAAUACAUCGGAACGUGCCCGAUCGUGGGGGAUAACGGAGCGAAAGCUUUGCUAAUACCGCAUACGAUCUACGGAUGAAAGCAGGGGACCGCAAGGCCUUGCGCGGACGGAGCGGCCGAUGGCAGAUUAGGUAGUUGGUGGGAUAAAAGCUUACCAAGCCGACGAUCUGUAGCUGGUCUGAGAGGACGACCAGCCACACUGGGACUGAGACACGGCCCAGACUCCUACGGGAGGCAGCAGUGGGGAAUUUUGGACAAUGGGCGAAAGCCUGAUCCAGCCAUGCCGCGUGCAGGAUGAAGGCCUUCGGGUUGUAAACUGCUUUUGUACGGAACGAAAAGCCUCUUUCUAAUAAAGAGAGGUCAUGACGGUACCGUAAGAAUAAGCACCGGCUAACUACGUGCCAGCAGCCGCGGUAAUACGUAGGGUGCGAGCGUUAAUCGGAAUUACUGGGCGUAAAGCGUGCGCAGGCGGUGAUGUAAGACAGAUGUGAAAUCCCCGGGCUCAACCUGGGAACUGCAUUUGUGACUGCAUCGCUGGAGUGCGGCAGAGGGGGAUGGAAUUCCGCGU
rnacentral:rRNA from 1 species